ensembl:lncRNA
CGGAGCCAGAGAGCAGUGUUUGGUCAGACCAUAGAUAAUAUAGAAGACAGCGCGCUAGCGUAUCUAGUCUAUGUGUAUCUAUGGUCGGCACGUCUGGUAGCAUCUCUGGCUGCUGUUGACCUUGUUUUUGCAGUAAAACACGGUGGAAGCUGAAUUAGUGAGGAUGACUCCUGCUCCUGUCAUCUCUAAGCUCCUCACACAUCUUUACCUGCACAUGAGGAAAAUCACUCCUGUAGAAUGCAGAUGUUCAGAGGGAGAUGAUGCCACAUCUGGUCCAGCCGAUGGAAGGUCUUGAAGUUCUCUGACUGGCCUGGACUGAAGAUGGUCGUCUCACUGGAUUUAAGGUUCAGAUGCUCAGUAACAAACUCCACCAAUGUGCCAACAGGGAAGCUUUAGGUUUAUUAAAUGUUGCUAUGAAGGUUUCGCUGUUUUUCUUUGUGAAUGCAAUGUGCUCCAACUGAAACUUGAAUUAGAACUUAGAAGUAAAUCCUUCCAUCUGAAAGGAUUUAGUUGCAUUAAUAACCUCAUAACAUUCUAAUUUUUAUUCCAGUCUUGGUUGGAAAUAGAAUCUCUGUAUUGAUUUAGGUAAAAACUGAACUUCACAGCAUGUUGGAGCAAAACAACCAGAUGAAAACUGUGAUGGUGUUGGAUUGUCAGACCGUAAUGUUGCAGCUCAAAGCAGCUUUUCUAUCUCAGUUCAUUCUGACAUUCAGCUAUGAAUCAACACAGCAGAUGGUGAUCCAUGCUGUGGAAGUCUCACAUCUCCUGAUUUAAUGGAGCUGCUUUGCACUUUUUACACUGUUUAUUCACCAACACUUUAUUUAAUCAAAGUCCCAUCUAGUUUUCAUGAGGAAUGUGAUGUUUUAAUUUCUCUGUGAAUAACUGCAGUCUAAUGCAACAGCUGGAGUUGUAACAUCUGUCCUCAUAUUGAUCAUGAAGUAUUGAUCAGAAUACUUAUGGUCAGCAGUCAUCCCUGAAGUUUUACAUUAAAAUCUUUACUUGUGUUGUGAACUUUGGUAAGAAGCAGAAACGUUAGCGUUGCCAUGGAUACAUGAGUGUUAAAUUCUGUCCAUGUUUCAUUUUGGGAAAUGCAGUCCAGUUCCACAAUGUGGAGGAAUUUAGUCUCAAAAUCACAGACAAUAAAUAUUAUCUGAAAGUUGGGUUAUUGUUGUUUAUCAGCACAAUACAAAAAGAUUAAUAUUAGAAAUAUUCCAGUUAAGGCUCUAGAAUAUCAUGAUUUAUGUAAAUUUACCUCAAUAAUAUGAAUGUUCAGGUUAAGAUUGUACAGUGAUAUUAUGUAAGUUUAGCUGAUUAAAGUUUAUGACUCUGCACUAAAAUAUUAUUUUAAUUGACAUCAUUAUUAUAAUAUUUAGGGUCAGACCCUACAGUAUUGAGAUUAAGAAAUCAAAUAUUCUAUAAAAUGUAAAUACACUGAACUCAUUUGGAUGUAUUUAAAUGAGACUCUACAAUAUUAUUUGACACAAAUCUAAAUCAAAAUUUUAAUUAUUUUCAUGCCAAACAUUUACUGGACUGAUUUAAAUAUUAAAAUCACUCCUUUCUAAUCCUCUGCUGUAUGUUCAAACCUGAGGCCUUAAAUAGAAACACACAAGUAUCUGAUUGAAGGAACUUCUGCAGAGUCCUGGUUCCAGAACAUGAUGAUAGAAUUAUAGACAAACUUUAACAAAAGCUGCCUGAGAGUUUACAGGUUUUUAUGUUAGAUUUCUUCAGUAAUUUAAUGAGUUAUCAGCAAAAAUCAAGUGUUCAUUUGAUGAACUUCAUUUCCUAAAACAUCCAGAAUUGGAGCUCAUAUCUUUGGCAGCUGUAAAGUUUCUGCUCCUUCAAAGUUCACAACACAAUGAAUGAAUUCCUAAAACACUCUCAGUGCUGGAGAGCGUUUGUGAUGCUGAAG